rnacentral:lncRNA from 1 species
AUGGCCCCCCUGGACUGCCUGCUCUUGCACCCGCUCCUUCGGCCUCGCUCCGUGUCCCUGAGCCUCCUGCUUCGCAGAUCUCGUUUUCUACCUCGUCACCCCUAUAACCCCUGGCUCCCUCCAGCGCUCUCAAGAAAUCCCUUGCAGAUGAGAAGGCGAGAAGGGAGGUGGCAAGCAGGGACGUAUGCAGAGACAGGUCAAAUGAUUUAGCUGGAAAGCAAAAAACCCAGCUCCGAUUGGCAACAGACUUGCCACAGCGAUCCCCACCUCCUCGUCUCCACUGUCACUCCAAGUAUGUCCUCGGAGCACCUCACAACGCAGAAUGGGGUCGUGUUGGGUGGCCAGUCCAUUCUUCAGGGAGAGGUGAGUGAAUUGCCAGCCUGCAUCUUUUGGCAGGGAUGAGAGGAGGUGACCGUUGGGAGGGAAGAGAGAGCCUGGGGGUGCUGGGGCCGUGGGGGGCUACCCUGAACUAGCCUCUCCCUGCCUCGGUUUCCCUUGCAACAAAAAUAGCAGCUUCAAAGCCAGCCAGUGGGGAUGUGUGACUGGGGAGGAGGUGAAUGGGCUGAGUGUGCGGCUGGGGGGGAGGGUGUCCAGCACGAGGGUGCCUGGGAGGAGGGUGCGUGGUCUGAGGGAGCCUGAGCUGAGGGUGCCCGGGCAGGAGGUGCGCGGGGAGGAGAGUGCCCGGGCAGGAGGGAUGCGUGGAGAGGAAGGUGCCCGGGCAGGAGGGUGUCUGAGCUGAGGGAGGGUGCCCGGGCAGGAGGGAUGCGUGGAGAGGAAGGUGCCCGGGAGGAGGACGCGGGCGCCCCAGCCCCGCGGGACGAGAGCAGGCAGCUGCCGCCCGGGCUGGCGCAGGGCAGGGCUCAGCCCCGGUG